rnacentral:rRNA from 1 species
GACGAACGCUGGCGGCGUGCUUAACACAUGCAAGUCGAGCGGUAAGGCCCUUCGGGUACGACGAGCGGCGAACGGGUGAGUAACACGUGGGUGACCUGCCCUCAGCUCUGGGAGUAAAGCCGUGGGAAACCGGGGUCUAAUACCGGAUAUGACCAUUGGAUGCAUGUCUGGUGGUGGAAAGCCAGUUGCUUUUUGUUUCUGGCGGCUGGGGAUGGGCCCGCGGCCUAUCAG